GGAGUUUGUGAAAGGGAGGGACAUCGUGAAUGUCGGUCCAGCCUCAGGCUGGUGACGAUGGAACCCAGAUAACAAACAGGCUUCUGCACCACCUUGCAGUGUGGUGCUGGAUACAAGAGUGCAGGCUAGUGUGGGCUAGAGGGAGUAGAAGGAAGUGAGCUCGCACACAAAUCCAGGCCUGCAUUGUUUACACACGCUGUCCCAUUUCAUCUUUAGAGCAACCUAGCUGUGCAUCAGCUCCAUUUCUGAGAUACGGAACUGGGCUUCAGAAAAGUGGAGUGUAUCGCUAUGAUUCAGCUGGUCCCUGUGCCCCAUCAAGGAAGCCCUUCAUCCCAGGCUGUGGUUUUCAGCCAUCGUCACCUUGCUGCUCUGUUAAUAGUCAACAGGCACAAAGGACGUGCCACAAAGGAUGAAAAAUUAGAGUCCUACUCGCCCCCACCAGAAAGCCCCAAGUGCACCAUUUUCUUCUAGAAGGGUGAUGUUUGACUGUAUCAGAGGCCACCUCCCAUCCACCAUAAUGGCCCGUCACCCAGAGCGCUCACCUGAGGCCACCUCAGAUUUAGGUGCCAGUUAUAGUGUCCAGUUUCCCAGGUGUUACUAUGUUGAUGAGUCACCUGGGGAUCUUGUUGAAAUUUGGUAGGUUUGGAGUAGAGAUUGAACUUCUGCACCGUCUUAGAGGAUACUAAGUUUUGCUGAAGCUGCUUGUCCGUGGACCACGCUUUGAGGAGCAAGCCUCUGUGGAUAGUUUUUAUUGGGCUUGUCAACUGUUUUGAGGAUGGGUUCCUUACGGCAUUAAUGUAGCUUACAAUUCCAUCCAUGGAAACUUCUAUGCUGCUUGAAAUUCUACUCCUGCUUUCCUGUUUGGUAAGCCUGACGCUAUAUUAUUUAUAGAAGGCAGAAGCUCUAGGAGAUGUAGUGAGAGGAUGCCUUUAAAACGGCCACCUCUGCAGGAUAUUUUGCUUCAAGAGUGACCAUGUGAAUUGGCUCCUGCGAUUUUGUCUGUAAAGCUUUAUGUCUAGUUAGACGUCUAGAGAGUCUUCAGAUGGUAUGACUCAAAGAUGAUGAGAGAAUCUUUUUUGAGAUGUAAUUGACAUAACAUUAGAAUGGUUUUAGGCCUACAGCGUAAUGAUUGAUAUGUUUGUGUCAGAAAAUGAUUAGCACAAUGAAUUUAGUUUACAUCCACCCUUGCCUUCAGUUACCAAAAAAAACCCAGUUUUGCAUGAUGAGAACUUUGAAGAUUUACUCUCUUAGCAACUUUCAGAUGUACAGUACAGUAUUGUCACUAUGCUGUAAUUAUAUCCCAGGUCUUAUUUAUCUUGGAAUUUUGUACCUUUUGACCCAGGACAUUUUUGGGGCGGGGCAUGCUGCAGCAUGCAGUGGUUUGAUGUGGGAUCUCAGUUCCCAGACAAGGGACUGCACCCGGGCCACUGCAGUGAAAUCACUAAGUCCUAACCACUAGACCACCUGGGAACUCCCUCCCUGACUCAGAAUUUUAAACUUUAACUUAGAUUCUUUUUUUUUUUUUUUGAUAGUUUUUUUUAAGGGCUGCACCCGUGGCAUAUGGAGGUUCCCAGGCUACAGAUCUAAUCGGAGCUACAGCUGCCAGCCCAUGCCACAGCCACAGCCACGUGGGAUCCGAGCCACGUGUGCAACCUAUACCACCGCUCACAGCAAUGCCAGACACUGAGUGAGGCCAGGGAUUGAACCCACAACCUCAUAGUUUCUAGUCAGAUUCAUUUCCGCUGUGCCACCAUGGGAAGUCCUAACCUAGAUUUUUUUUUUUUAAUUAAAACACUUAAUUCACUGGAAACUCAAGACUCAAAUCCACUUUUUCGAGAUGGCAUUCCCACAAACAUGUAAAGACAUGAGUAAAAGAUGCAUGUGCACUUUUAAAAAGUUUCAUGUCUGUGGAGCCAGUUUCAUUCUUCAUUUCUCUGUGUCUGUGACUCCUUUUGUAGAGCAGAAGAGGGAGGAGGCUGGAAGAGACUGGGGUUGAGGUUACUGAUGCCCAGACCAGGGCUUCUUGUGGACCUGAGAAGGCAGGGAGGCCUCAGGAACCGCUGCCCUGAUGGGCUGGACACGGAUCUCCUUCUGAGACUGGCGAUGCUGUGAUGCACCCGAGGACCAGAAUGUUGGUGGUCUCGGGGGAUCCCGAGGAUGCUGGAAAAUAGGCAGAUGUGAGGAUGUGAUAAGAAAAGCGUUUGCUUUGUCAUCUGUGGUUGAUGUCACAAUACCCAUGGAAAAUACCCAGUACAAGUGAGAAGUGUUAACAAUGGGGAGAAGUUACAGCCCUAAGUGGAAAACUUUGACUUGUGUCCUUUGUGUGAUGGUUCAUUAUUGCCUUGGAUCGUUCCAGAAUUUCCCUGGUAGCCCCUUCACUCAACAAAUAAUUAUCAAAGUGACCACUAUGCACUAAACUUCUCCUGUGAGUAGAGACAGCCCUCUCUGAGUGCAGCAUUUGAGUAUUAGACUUUUGUAAUCUCCUUACUGCCUCAGCUCUAGUCAUUGCUUGUAAAGCAUUUCUUGGAAGUGACAGAUUAUACUUGGGACCGCUUGUCGUCAGCUGACAGCAGUGUGAAGCCACAGCUGAAAACAGUGAGAAGAAUAAGGAGAAAGGGUACAGGGAGAGAGGUUAGCAGUGCUCAGAUCACCUAAGAGAACCUAAAGAAUAAACACGGAAAAGAUCACUGGCAUGCAUCUGAAGGAAGUGCCUGGAAUUCACAGCCAAAGCGCUUUCAUUGAAGUUUGGGGAAUGGAAACCCAUAGAGGCACUGGGGGAGUUGGGUGGAAGGGAUGUUUCAAAACCAGGGUUGUGGAUGGAAAUAAAGGGUGGGGAGUGAAGGAAGUCGACAUCACCAGUAAGUCUUCCUGUGAAACAAAUGCUUUUUGCACAGGAUCUUGCGGUAUUCGUUCAUUAACGUGGGAUGCGGUGCUCAGUGUUGUAUGUUUAUGGAGGUUGUUGAGCGUGCAGCAGAUGGUGCUCUCCCAGGACUAAAAACAAAUCGAAGAUAAGGGUCGGAAGACUGAAAUGAUCUGUGAUAUUCAGGCACCUGUCACUUGCCGGCUAUUUAAAGUGUGAAGUGAGCAAUGAUAUUUCAUCCAAAAGCUCACACCUGCUUAUUCUGGGAAGUGUGCCUGCAGGACCAAAACCCAUGCACAUUCAUUGGUCUAUCAGCGAUGUUCAGCAGGUAUUGAUUGAGUCUCUACUGUGAAAGAAAAUGUGAUCCAGCCCUCGGAGCCUCCAUGAUAGUGGGGAAUGUUAAAGCCUGAUGCUAAUUCAAGCGGAUAGGACAGAUUUCAAGCAGGGAUCUGCUCCAGCAAAAGGGAAAGAGUCCAGGGUGGACCCAGCUCAACUCGGUGUACCGAGGAGACUGGGUGUUUUAAAAGGAAGAAUGAGGAAGCAGAGAGGCGGUUGAGAAGGGGUUCAAAAAUUUAUAGGCCAAGUGAACCAUUCUAAAGGGUGUGAAAAGGGAGAGUUGGACCAUAUGAAACCCAUCUGGGUUUGUUAAUCGGUGCUUAUCCCUUAUGACUUGUGAAAGUUAAGCUCCUACCCUUCCACAGAGGUGGGGAGUCUGGGGGCCCUAUCCUCAGGUGCUGAUUAGAACAAAUAGCAAAUUCUUAGGCAGUCUUUCAUGUUCUCAGGCAGGCACUUUAAGGGAGGCUAGGGUUAUCCUAGGAAAGCAGGCUUGGAGUUCCCUGG
rnacentral:lncRNA from 1 species